rnacentral:rRNA from 1 species
AGCGGCGGACGGGUGAGUAACGCGUGGGUAACCUGCCUCAUACAGGGGGAUAACAGUUAGAAAUGACUGCUAAUACCGCAUAAGACCACAGCACCGCAUGGUGCGGGGGUAAAAACUCCGGUGGUAUGAGAUGGACCCGCGUCUGAUUAGCUAGUUGGUAAGGUAACGGCUUACCAAGGCGACGAUCAGUAGCCGACCUGAGAGGGUGACCGGCCACAUUGGGACUGAGACACGGCCCCA